rnacentral:rRNA from 1 species
GUGGAUUAGAUACCCUAGUAGUCCACGCCCUAAACGAUGCGAACUGGAUGUUGGGAGCAACUUGGCUCUCAGUGUCGAAGCUAACGCGUUAAGUUCGCCGCCUGGGGAGUACGGUCGCAAGACUGAAACUCAAAGGAAUUGACGGGGGCCCGCACAAGCGGUGGAGUAUGUGGUUUAAUUCGAUGCAACGCGAAGAACCUUACCUGGCCUUGACAUGUCCGGAAUCCUGCAGAGAUGCGGGAGUGCCUUCGGGAAUCGGAACACAGGUGCUGCACGGCUGUCGACAACU